rnacentral:rRNA from 1 species
GACGAAGGAUGCAAGCGUUAUCCGGAUUCAUUGGGUUUAAAGGGAGCGUAGGUGGCCUUAUAAGUCAGUGGUGAAAUCUCUGGGCUUAACCCAGAAAUUGCCAUUGAUACUGUAGGGCUUGAGUACAGUUGCCGUUGGCGGAAUAUGACAUGUAGUGGUGAAAUACGUAGAGAUGUCAUAGAACACCGAUUGCGAAGGCAGCUAACGAAACUGUAACUGACACUGAGGCUCGAAAGUGCGGGGAUCAAACAGG